GAUUGGAUAAAAUUAAAAUGCGGAUAUCAGUAAUAGAGUUGUUUUGUAAAAAGGAUUCAAUCAUUCUAAACUCUAAUAGAAAGGGGAAGAAUUGAGUGGCCCAUUUUCACACCAUAACAUAUUUUGUGCAUAAAUCCAAAACAUUUUCCCACUUUUUAACUCCAUAUUCUCCAAAAAUCACUAUUCAAAACAUAGUUUUUACACAAUAAUCACCACCAAACAGGGGCUAAGCAGUUAAUAUGGUAAGAAUUUUGUGGGCAGAAGAUUCGGUCCCAAGUCUUAAGACUCAAGCCCCAAAAAUCCACACAUAAAACACGAAUACUUUGGAAUUAGAUCUGAGGCGUACACAUGGAACAAGAACUGGUAAAAUCAUAAAAAUUUCUAAAUUCUCAUUAAAAGUAUAACAAUUUAGGAAUUAUACCCGAAGAAGUAAUGUAUUUAGCAAAUUUACAAUAAUUCUGAGCAGAUCUCACAAGACCACUGCGCAUCCACUGCGCAUAUUGACAUGCAAUGAUCUCUAAAGACGAUACAACUUAAGUCAACCCUCAACCAGCAUAAAUUCAGAGAAACACUAGAAUCAGGAAGUGUUUGUAGAUCAAAACAAUCACAUAAUACUUUCAGUUACGCAACAAAAAAGAGAUCAAAUCAAUUAAUCUAAAAUCACUAAGAUCAAAUCAAAUAUGCUGACAAUUCCAAUUCAAAAUUCUAAACCAACACAUCACCAAAUCAAUUCAUUCACAUGACAAACACCGAAAUUCACAAUACGAAAUCAAAAAAUGUUUUACCUCUUCGAUUGCACCUUCUGAUUUCCAAAAAACCGACCUGUGAGGUGAAAUGCGUUAGUGAAAAGUAUACGAAAGCUGAGAAAGCGGGCACCCGUUUAUAUAGUCGUUGGGAUCCAAGAUCUACCCGCAGAAAUGACAAUAAAAUCCCUAUUUGGUACAGAUUUGGCGAGGGCUAAAAUGUGAAAUAAAUGAAAAUAAAAAUUGACUGUAACUUUGGUAGUGGGGAAGAAAUGGUAUAGUUUUCGACGCGUUUUGACUGCACCGCCACUGUCAAGCUGGCAGGAUAAUGCGGGUGUACCGUGUCCUUCCCGGUUGGUGCCCAAAUUUUUGUCUCGAACCGCCCGGACGUUGGAAUGUAAUCCAACGGCUCCUC
rnacentral:lncRNA from 1 species